rnacentral:rRNA from 1 species
UGCCAGCAGCCGCGGUAAAACGUAGGACGCAAACGUUAUCCGGAGUUACUGGGCGUAAAGCGCGUGCAGGCGGUUGAGUAAGUUAUCUAUGAAAGCUCUUGGCUAAACUGAGAGAGGAUAGGUGAAACUGCUUGACUAGAGUGAGGGAGAGGGAAGUAGAAUUCCGGGUGUAGUGGUGAAAUGCGUAGAUAUCCGGAGGAAUACCAGUGGCGAAGGCGGCUUCCUGGUCCUCAACUGACGCUGAGACGCGAAAGCGUGGGUAGCGAACGGGAUUAGAUA